ACUCCGUACGGGAGGCAGCAGGUGGGGAAUCUUGGACAAUGGGCGCAAGCCUGAUCCAGCCAUGCCGCGUGAGUGAUGAAGGCCCUAGGGUCGUAAAGCUCUUUCGCCAGGGAUGAUAAUGACAGUACCUGGUAAAGAAACCCCGGCUAACUCCGUGCCAGCAGCCGCGGUAAUACGGAGGGGUUAGCGUUGUUCGGAAUUACUGGGGCGUAAAGCGCGCGUAGGCGGACUGGAAAGUUGGGGGUGAAAUCCCGGGGCUCAACCCCGGAACUGCCUCCAAAACUCCCAGUCUUGAGUUCGAGAGAGGUGAGUGGAAUUCCGAGUGUAGAGGUGAAAUUCGUAGAUAUUCGGAGGAACACCAGUGGCGAAGGCGGCUCACUGGCUCGAUACUGACGCUGAGGUGCGAAAGUGUGGGGAGCAAACAGGAUUAGAUACCCUGGUAGGAUAGCG
rnacentral:rRNA from 1 species